GUUUGAGGAUCUGAAACACCUGUUCUUGGAUCAUGGCCCUGUAGCCAUCCUGGGGCAUAGCACUUAACAUCUCUGUGCC
rnacentral:miRNA from 14 species